rnacentral:rRNA from 1 species
GGUUGACCUCGGAUCAGGUAGGGAUACCCGCUGAACUUAAGCAUAUCAAUAAGGCGGAG